rfam:Phytophthora infestans T30-4 supercont1.1 genomic scaffold, whole genome shotgun sequence.
GCUCUUAUGGUGUAAUGGUUAGCACUCUGGACUUUGAAUCCAGCGAUCCGGGUUCAAAUCCCGGUAGGACCU